AGGAGGCAAGGAAGUGAUGCGGAGCCUGCCCCUUCCCAUGUUCCGUGCCACUCACCUGGGAGAAGUCCGGAACCAGGUCCCCCGAAAGCACUGCUGAUGCCUUAUCCAGAUGAGACGCUCAGAAAAUGCAGCUACCACCGGAACAGAGCAAGACAACUUGUUUACGAGACAGAUCAGUGCUCCUCGGCGGUGGAGGGCAGGAGGAAGGGGAGGCUGCCGUCUUUGGGUCCAGUGCAGGCGGUGCAGAGACCUGCAUUGUUCUAAAUCAGGAUAACAAGGCACUUCCGCAGCCCCUUUCCUACAGGAAUCCCGACAGGUUGUUGUCCUCCCCCGCACGAGGGGAAGUGUGGCACCAGGGGGGGAAACAACUCAUCUGUCGGACACCAGCAUUGAAGGGGAGGAGGGAAGCUGGGACUCCUGGAGGUUUUCGGCCCUAAUUUGAAGACACCAGGCAAUAAAGCAAGUGCACAGUCCACCCUGACACCUUCCCAGAGCAGGGUCUGGUGGCUCCACAGGCUCGUCAUGGCGCUGAGUCAGAGGAAAGCAUGGUACCUGCCUCCUGCCUGCCUCCUGCUGUGCCCAGGCUCUCCCAUGCCUGCGAACUGGCCCACUCUUUGCCUUUGACGUCUGACCUGGCUGCAUCCUAUCGCACUUCUUGGACUGGCAAAUUCCUGUUACAUCUUCUGCUCAAAUGUGCAAAUGACAGCUCUUUUCCCAGCCACGGACCCUUGCUUUCAUCCUUCCCUUCUGUGGCAGCUGCAGCAGAGUAUGAGGUACCUCCCAAGAACGGGGAAAAAGAAGCAGCUCCCCUGCACCGCAGCGUAGCAACAG